AUGGUAGGAUAGAGGCCUACCAUGGUGGUAACGGGUAACGGGGUGUUAGGGCACGACACCGGAGAGGGAGCCUGAGAAACGGCUACCACAUCCAAGGAAGGCAGCAGGCGCGCAAAUUACCCAAUCCCGACACGGGGAGGUAGUGACAAUAAAUAACAAUACAGGGUUCUUUGAAUCUUGUAAUUGGAAUGAGUACAAUUUAAAUCUCUUAACGAGGAACAAUUGGAGGGCAAGUCUGGUGCCAGCAGCCGCGGUAAUUCCAGCUCCAAUAGCGUAUAUUAAAGUUGUUGCAGUUAAAAAGCUCGUAGUUGAAUUUCGGGAUCAAUACGUCGGUCGUGCUUUCGGGUACGUACUGGCGUCAUUGGUUUCUCCUUUCUGACGAACCAUGAUGUCAUUAAUUUGGUGUUAUGGGGAGUUAGGACUGUUACUUUGAAAAAAUUAGAGUGUUUAAAGCAGGCAUUAGCUUGAAUACAUUAGCAUGGAAUAAUGAAAUAGGACGUUCGAUCCUAUUUUGUUGGUUUCUAGGAUCAACGUAAUGAUUAAUAGGGAUAGUUGGGGGCAUUAGUAUUCAAUUGUCAGAGGUGAAAUCCUUGGAUUUAUUGAAGACUAACUACUGCGAAAGCAUUUGCCAAGGAUGUUUUCAUUAAUCAAGAACGAAAGUUAGGGGAUCGAAGACGAUCAGAUACCGUCGUAGUCUUAACCAUAAACUAUGCCGACUAGGGAUCGGAUGAUGUUAAUUUUUUAAUGACUCAUUCGGCGCCUUACGGGAAACCAAAGUGUUUGGG
rnacentral:rRNA from 1 species